rnacentral:rRNA from 1 species
UACGGGGGGGGCAAGCGUUGUUCGGAAUUACUGGGCGUAAAGGGCGUGUAGGCGGCCAACUAAGUCCGACGUGAAAUCCCCAGGCUUAACCUGGGAACUGCGUCGGAUACUGGAUGGCUUGAAUUCGGGAGAGGGAUGCAGAAUUCCAGGUGUAGCGGUGAAAUGCGUAGAGAUCGGGAAGAACAUCGGUGGCGAAAGCGCUCUACUGGACCGCGACUGACACUCAGGGACGAAAGCUAGGGGAGCGAAUGGG